ACUACGCUACGUAAACAAUUCAAAACGGGUCCCCGUGUCUACUCCUAUAAAGAGGCAUUCAGUAUGUAGAUAUUUUUCUCGCUCUUCUUCUUCCGCUUGCCAAACCCCGUGGAAAUUUUGUUGAGGAAUUCUAUCAAUUGAAUAUUCAGACCUUCAAUAUUGGUAUAUGAGAAUAGUUUUGAGGAAAGCAACUUUUAUCAUAAAUGGCUCUUUAUUUGAUAUUUACAAAGUUGGUUAUGUCUCUGUGCUGCUCCGUGUUUGUGUGCAACUACAUUCUUGAUGCUGAGACAACGAAGCUUGUGUUUUGAGAGUACCUGUAUUCAGAAUGCUAAAUGAAGGUUUUACACAAGAGGAUUUUUGUUGUGGCAAGUUUCGUGCAUGAAGAGAUCAGGAGUUGCUGCCUUAACAUUUCCACCUCCUUUUGCCAGAACUACCAAAUACAGCUAUGUAUCAGAUAUUGCUUCUCUUAAAUCUGUCAACUGUCAACACUCAACACUGAGAUUUACAGGUGCUUUUUGAGGAAUGGAUCAGAUGUGAAGAUUUUCCAGAGCUGUGUAGUCUUCGAUCAAUAUACAGGACACAAGCUGAGUUCAAUGAUGUUGUGUUUCUUGUUUUGACAUGGUCUUGUAAUUCUUCCUUCUUCAAGGUGAAGCUAGAGCGAGUUCGAUGGUGGUAUGAACUGUUUUCUCAAUUUGCAAUACUCGUUUUGAGGAUUUUCAGGUCUGUUCAAAUGUUAUCAUGGAUAACAUAAAGUUGUUUUCAAAGUUGAUAUCAAUUUGAAGGUGGUAAGAACCUGGAAUCUACAUUCUUUGUAUCAUAUUUUAUAUUUAAUAAUCUCAUGGCAUUUGUUUAUAUUUGAUGAAUUCAAAUGAUCAAAUGUUGUGAGGCCUAAGUUUCUCUUUUGCUUUCUUUAUCAUUGGUUUCGCUUGCAGGCCAUCAUCUAGGAUAAGGAGUUUGCAUUGGGGAGGCUUCACUCUCUAAGAAUAAACUUAUAGUUGGUUAUUUCAGGAGAGUGUGUAGUCACCCAACGCAAACUCCUUAUUCUGGAUCGCUUGGAAGCGAGACUAAUUGUAAAGAAAGCCAAAGAGGAACGUAGGAUCAGAUGGGAAAGAUUGAAAGAGGAUAAUGCUGAAGUUUUUGCCGAAAAAGUUGUAAAAGUAGCUGAUUAACCUUGGAUACGGAGGAUACCAAGAAAAAGGUGAAAAAUUGUAUCACUUGAAUAGCUAAGGAUACAACAUGGUAGAAUAAGGGAUAGGGAAAACUUAGCCAAGUAUAAGGAAAUUGAAACCAAGACAAAAGAAAUAGUUCACAAGGAGAAAUUAACGGGCUUUAAAGAAGUGUUUGAGAAACAAGAUUCCAAAGAAGGAAAAAGGUUAUUUAUCGAAUGGCAAAAGGUAGGCAAGCAAAAACUAAUGACAUAAUUGUAGUAAAGUGUAUUAAGAUAAGGAUAAGAAGAUUCUACUUCAAAAAGAGAGCAUCAAGGAUCUGUAUAUAUAUAGAUGUAGUACGAGCUAUUUAUUGGUGAACAAGAAAAUGUUGUACGAGAUACAUCAAUCACUCCCUUGGAAGAAAAUAGAGAAUUUAUGCGAAGAAUACAAAAAACAAAGGUGGAGGGGGAUUUAAAGAAAGUCAAGCUAAAGAAAGUGGUUAGGUCAAAUGGUAUACGUGUUGAGGUAUGGAGAUGUUUGUAGAUGAUUGGAGUAACUUGACUAACUGAUCUAUAUGUCAAUUUUGGAAGGACAAACAAGAUUCCCAUUGAAUGGAGAAGAAGUACUCUAGUACCCAUUUACAAGAAUAAGGGAGAUGUCCAAGACUGCUCCAACUACCGAGACAUAAAACUCAUGAGCCAUAGAGUGAUAGAAACACAUAUGAGGAGAUAUACCAGCAUAUAGAGAACCAAUUUGGAUUUAUGUCUGAGAGAUCUACUAUGGAAGCAAUUCAUCAUAUGAGACAAUCGAUGAAUAACUAUAGGGUAGGAAGAAGAUAAUUGAACAUGAAUAUUAUUGACUUGGAAAAACAUACAAGGUACAAAGAGGAUUGCUUUGGUGGGUAAUGACAAAAAAGGGUAUUGCCAAGAAAUAUAUUAAUGUAAAGCAAGAUAUAUAUCAAAAUGGAGACAAAUGUAAGAACAUGUGGAGGGUCAACAAAGGUUUUUUCAAACACAAUUAAGCCUUCCAUCAAGGAUUGGUCAUAAGUCCCUUUCUUUUUGCAAUGACCCUAAAUGAGAUAAUUGGAUGAUAUAAAGAGACGUGCUUGAUGCAUGUUGUUUGUAGGCGAAAUUGUUUAGGUAGAUGGGACUGAGGUGAGGGUAAAGGCUAAGCUAAAACAAUGGAGACAAGAGUUGGAGUCAUGAAGGUUUAAAUCAAGUUGGAGUAAGACAAAGUACAUGAUGUGUAACUUUAGCACAAAUAAGAUAAUAAUAGGUAUGUCAUGAAUGGCUUAAUAGGGGUAAUGUAGGCAUACUUAGUAAAUAAUAGUCCAUCUUGUAAUUAGUAGUUUAAAUUUUGUUUUUGGUAUAGCUAUUUUUUUAGGGAAAGUGGUUAGGUAGUUAGAAGCCUAUAUAUAGGGCUAGUGUGUCAAAUAAUGGAGAGAAAAGAUUACUCUCUUGUGUCUUUCUUGAGUAAUUUGUCUAAUUCCCAGCUAAUGAACGAAGGGAGGUAGAAUUAUUCAAGAACUGAACAUCAAAGGCAGUAACGCCUCAAUUAGUACCGGAAACAGGGGCAAAAUCGUAUCAACAGCAGAAAUACAUUCAAGAACUGACCGGCAGAGGUAGAAGCACCUCAAUUGGUACUGGGAGCAGGGGUAGAAUCAUAACAAGGUAUUACAAAGCUAGAAGAGAAAGAAUCACUCUUAAGCGGAUCCUAAGAAUACCUUGACUCCAUAUUUAAGAGUAGCGGAGACAUUAAAGCUAGAGGGAUAAUUUUGCCAAAUGACCAUUAGUCCAACGCUACUACAUGGAUCAGAAUGUUGGGCUUUUAAAAAGGAUCAUUGUAGGAAGAUAGAAGUACUAGAAAUGUGCAUGCUUCAAUAAAUGAGAAGGCAUACCUUUAUGGAUAUACCGCGAAACAAAAAUAUCAUAAAGAGUUUAGGAUUUGUAAAUAUUUAGGAAAAAAAUGAAAAAGAGUCAUUUAAGAUGAUUUAGGCAUGUGCAAAGACGGGGUAUUAGCGAGUCGAUAACGAUGAUAGAAAUUUGGAACUCAAAGGACUUAAAGAGAUGGUGUGGAAGACCGAAGAUGGCAUCGAGGGCAAGAGAGAAAGAGAUAUGAAGGAUUUAAACUUACAAAUUGAGAUGGUAAAAAAUUGAAAUGAAUGGAGAAGAAGAAUCCAUGUGGACAACCAUUGGAACUUAUAUAUUGAUUCAUGUAGUUGACCCCAAUCUUUUUGGGUUAAGGCGCAACUAUUAUUAUUGCAAUAAUGUUGUGAUGUCUCAUAAUAUUGCUCUUUCUUGGAAACAAAGAAGGGCACAAGGAUAUAAUGGUGUUUGCUUGUGUUAAUUAUCAUAUAACUCUCAAAUUUUAUUCAUAGUACUAAGGUGUUGGCACAUUUUGCAAAACAUAUCAAUGUGGGAAAUUGUCAGCUGAAGUUUAAUCUUGACCAACCAAAAUUAAUGGUCAGUGGUUGUUAGACAAUACUAACCAUGAACUAUCACUAUUGAGUUGCCUUGAGGCCAUCAAUUUACUCUUUUGUCUUUAUUUUUUACAUACUCUUGUUGACCCAUUUUACUCUUAAAAUCUGACUUCACUUUGGCCCUUUUCUUUAUUUAGUUUUUUUUAAUAUGGUCUUUGGAGAGGUUUUAGAUAACUUUAUUCAUUUUUUUUGAAAGACAAGAUAAUUUUUUUGCUUUCUAUAUUCCAAAAAGCUAUUUUCUUUGGAAUCAAAAAUAAUGCCAAAGCCUUAAUGAAAACGAUAUGGGGUGUAUUACGUGAACCAAAACAACUCAACGUGGUAAAUUCUCGUUAACAAAGAUUUUUUUAUUUGGCACAACCUCAUACAAAUGUACAUUCAAGAAAGUUGAUUAUAAUUAUCAUUUACUGAUCUAUAUAUAUAUUCUCCUUUGGCAUUCAUUCAUAUAUAUAGUCAUAUGCUCAUCUAAAAUCCAAUUCUUCUUCAUUUCGCUCUUCGCUCCUAUCAUAUUAGUAAUGUUCAACCUAUAUCUUUCUUUUCCAACCUCAUAGUUUUCUAAUUGACUACUAAAAUGAUCUUUUUCCGUUUUGCUUACAUGUCUAUGACUCCGAGACCCUAUCUUAUGUUUUCUUAAGUGUGUUCCUACUUGUCAAUCCUAUAAUACACGUAUCUCAGCUAUGAGCAACCUUCAUCUUCCAACAAUGACUUUUUUUAGAAAUCCCAAUACCUUACCCAUAGAUUAGUGCUUAUUCAAUAGAUGUCGAUUGAAUUUCUCUUUAAUCUUAAUGCAACACUUUGGUCACCCUUUAGCUACUUCUUUUUGGAAUAAAGUUUUAAGUUUUCUCGUUUUUUUGAUAGUUAGAUGAUGCUAUGUUGAUCUUCUUGGGUACCUUGAUAAAUUCAUGCUGAGUUUGGUACAUAAAUUUAACUAGUAAUAAGAUGAGCUUGAGGAUUCGUCUUUCUUAUAAUAAUUUUGUAAGAAUUACUCCAAAAUGAUUUUCUUUGAAGGGCAUAAGAUAUUUACUAUUAAGUGUAGGAAUUUAAUAACCAUGGCCUCUUGGUAAAUUACAAGUUUCCUUGUUAGUUAAAUAUUGUUUAAUACCUAUGAAAUUAGCAAGGGAAGUAACAUCUUGUCUAUGAGUUACAAAUUCCUGUGGGAGUUUAAUUUCAGUUGCAACCAAGUGCCUCUUCAGAUUUAGAAAUUGCAAAUGUAAUCAAAAAUUUAAGAGUGAUGAUUUUGCAAGUUUGAACGUUGUGGCGAUUUCCUUUCCAAAAUAAGUCUUUUUGGCUUCACUUUAUUAAGAGCAAAUAUGGUUGAUGUUGAAAUGGAAUAGAUCCUAAAAAGCAAAAGUGUUGUGUAUUACAGUUCAUUGAAGCUUCAUAUUUGAUCUUUCUCUCUUUUUGUGAAGCUUUACUUUAUUGACCCUUUGUAUCCUUGUCGACGCAAGUCACAAUACAACAAUCUGAGCAGUUGUGAAUUACGUGUUUAAUAUGAUUGCAGUUGCGUGUAGAUGGACUGAAACAUUUGUGACUAGCCCUAUAUCAAAAAUUGCAAUUUGAAUUGACUAACAUAUUAAUCAAAAUGUUUGAACUUUCCUCCAGCUUGUUUGGAAAACGACUUAGUAGGCUUAAUUCCCAAGCAUGAAUGUUUGUUUGGCCAUCUUUUGCAAUGCGUACUCAAUCUUGUUCCCAAUCAAAUCCUUUCUUUUUCAUCUCUCUCUCUUUUUAUUUUUGGAGCCUCUUCUUUUUCUCUCUCAUUGAGUAUUUUUCUCUCCAUAUGUUAACUUCCCUCCUCUCCUAUUUCUUGUCUGGUUUAAUGUAAAGGUAGAAAAGCUAUGCCUUUUUUUUAUAAAAAAUUGUGAUAUUUACAAGGGUUUGCCCAUGAUUAGAUAAUGUGGGAGUUGACUUUGAUUUUAUUGGUGGACAUGGAACCAGUGUUUAGAUAUACAACUCACUCUGAUAACUUUCUACUUUAUCUUGUACUAUUAGUUGACCAAUCCACUAACGCAUUUUCCCCUUUUAUUCUAUCAAAUUGCUUUUGGAGAUUAAAAUUCCUUUUUGGUGAAGGUCUAGUGCAGUCACUGGUACUGAGAGGAAUAGCAUAUUUGACAUGUUUAGCUAAUGAAUGUUAGGGUUGGCUAUUUCAAUUCUUGUCUCCUAUCGUGUUCUUGUGAAGCUAGUAGCGCAUCUGCUGAUGGAAUUUGGUCACUUUGAACCUUGAGAUUGUAUAAUAUUGUUUGUUAGGAAUUAUUGAUAUCCAAUUGCUAAUAACAUGAAAGACAUAGAUGAGCAUGUUAGAGUUCAAAUAACUUUUUUGAUAUUAGCAGAAAUGUAGAUGUGAAAAAUUUUACCCUAUAGAAAUUAGAAAGGACAAAGUUACAUGCAGUGAUUUCCUGUAAGACUAUAUCAGUUUCUAUUUAUAUUUAACUUUUUUUGUGUUUACAUCUUAGCUAGGAUGACAUUGUUUUUUUAAAUCUUUGUUUGUCGUUGUUAUCACUGCUCUGUGUGGUACUUGCACUUUUACUUUUUUUUACUUAUUUGUGGACAACCUUCUUUGAUUAAGGACUAUUUGGUGAAGGGUUUCAGGAAUAGGAAAGGGCAUUUAUAACCUUGAUUACAUUACUGCUAAUUUGAUGUGCAUUAUUAAAUUUCGCUUCCAUCUUUUGCUUCUGGAGUGCUUCUGAAUCCCUCUACAUUCCUUUCUCCUAAAUUGAGACUCCUCGGUAUAAACAAUCACCAACUAUUGACAAUUAAUCAUUGCCAUCCACCACCAUCAUCACCCCACAGUAAACUCAUUUUUGAAGGGUUGAACCACUACCCUAACUAACCCCAUGCUCAACCAGAUUAAAGGGCUUUUUCUUAAAUCGCCUCUUUAUGUAAUAAUAUGUACACUAAAAGCAAAAAUUAUUUUGCCCCAUGUCCAUCAUGAACCAAUAGUCUACUGCCCACAAUCACUAUUCAGCUCAUGCCAAUCCCGUCAUCAAUUCUUUCCUCUUGUUUACUCAAAAUGGAACCUCCUAAGUCCCACCAUGUCCUCUAAACUUGCCUGAAAGCAAGCUUCCUAUCCUUAUCAUACACUAUAGCAAACAAGCUUUACAAGAGGAGAAAGAAAAGUAAGGAACCAAACUUACGAGUUGAAGGACAAUGGAAUUAAAGGAGAGAUGUUACAUUGUCUAUCUUAGAUGAAAGUGGUCCAAAAGGUUGUUGAGCACUUGAGGAUGGUGAUAUUGAGAGUUUGAAUGGCUAUGGAGGCAGGAAUCGAAUAAUGACUCUAAAGGAGUCCUUUAUUCUUCAUUUGUACAAUCCCUAGUUUCCUUUUGUUACCUUACAUUUUUCUUUCCUUGUUCCCUUCUUUCUCUUCAUCCAAAUAUAUUUUUUGCAUAUAUUAUUACUUACAUCUUUAAUCCUGACCUUUUUGAUAUGUUGUGUCUGUUGAUUGUAAACUUUUUCUUAUAAUUGCUUUUAUUGUCUCCAAAAUUUCAACUUUCAGUUGUCAUAUAUUUCUCUCCAUAGAUUUCAGGACUUAUAUUUUGCCUUGGAUAUUUUAUAAAUUGUCUGCUAAUCCAUAAUCAAUUAGAUUUACAACUAAUUGUUUUUGGAAUUUUAAGAAGUAUCUAAAACUUCACAUUGUUUAAAGAACCAUGAAACUUUUUAAGUAUUUGUUUAUCUUUGAAAGUUGAUACCUGAACAUGACACUUUUAAAAUAAAUUGAUAUAUGUUACCAAAGGAAUACAACUUACAUGCUUUUCAAACAAGACUUUAAUGUUAUUAUGCAUUUUUCUGAUCAUGUGGAAACUUGUCUUUAUUACUUUCACGCUUAUGAUAUUGUUAGAAGAUUUUACCAGUUCUGCUAACUUUUACAGAUUAUAGUGAUUAUUGACCUCUCAUAUCUUUGGGGAGUGUAAUUGUAAGAAUCAGAGGGAUGGGAAUAAUACUUACAUAUUUUUCCUACAACGCUGAUGAUAAUUGGAAUUGGUUUUCUUAGUUGUAGAUCAAUAUAAGAUAGGUCCGAAUAAAAUACAUUGUUUGUCACCGAUGGUCUGUCAUGUUAUUUUUGGUUCAUAUAGUCGACCCUAUAUGUCGGGAUAAAGCUUUGGCUUUCUCACGACGAGCAAUUAAUGUAUGAUUCUUGGUUGAAAGAGAUUUUAUUAGUUCAUAAAGCUUAGUUUAUGCUCAUGCUAGUGAGCAAGUCUACCCCUAUUUGUAUUACACAUACCUUUAUUUCACAUCUUGGAUUCACCAUUUGAUUCUCUUCCGCUUUGGCCUUAUUAUAGCGGUCAAUUACGGACGUCAUGCUGGCAAAAAGAAUACAAAGUGUGGUCAGAAUUUUCUAGUUUUAAUAUUUAGCACUACGAAAGUCAGUUGCACAUUGCAUAAAUUUUAUUUGUUGAGCUCUUUUUGGACUUUCACCUUGUUAUCUACAAUUUAAAAGUUAUCUAAUCACUAUGAUAAUAGUGUUGUGUGGUGCUUGAAAUCAAUAAGUUUGUAAUUAUAAUCUCAAGCAUCAAAGUCACAUCUUGAGUAAGCAGAAACACCUUUGAACCAGAUUGCUGAUCACAUAUAUUAAGUUGCAACUUACUGCUAAACCAAACUAUACAUAUCCAUCAGGUGUUGGAACAUCCUAUCUUUAAUCUCCUUAUAAGUGUAAUCUCUAUAAUAAGGUACAAAUGUCCGUUAUGCAUAGCUUUUUUUUACUAGAGUAAACCUCUUGUGACUAUUGUUGUUAUAGUCAAUUUUUAUAAAUCUCAUGUUUUCGGGUGGAGUACCUAGAUUUAGAGGUGUUUAUUCCCACUUGUGAUUAGGAAAUGAUGUGUUGUUUCUAAGGAAAGAUGAAAAGAAGGUGAUGAUUGUAAAAGCUGUUUCAGUUCACUCAUAGUAGAUUCUAUUGAAGGACUACGACAAUGUCACAAUCAAAUCUAGAUGAAAUCUGUAAUCUGUAAGUAAUUGACUAUAGAUCAACAUUGUAGUCUUGUAAAACAAAUUGGUUAGUGCUCUUGGGAUAGAGAUGUUGACGAGUGUAAGGAUGUACCAGGAGGCUUUAUGGCACAAUAAUGCCAAAGGAAAACUAAUUUCAUAACAAGGUACUAUUGAGGUGUCGAUUUGGAUGGUUAUAUUUUAUACAAUGCGACAACUUGGUUGAGUUUCAUUGUUUCUUAAAGUGUUAGACUUUUGAUGGUAUGUAUCAUUGAUUAGUGUUUUUAUUUUGUUUUGAAAGAGUAGGAAAGUAAAACUUCAGUUGAGCAUCAAAUAUCUUGCAAAAUAUCCCUAGCGCAUAUUGUCAAUUUUCUCUCCAUGUUUGCAUUUCCAUGUUAAAAUUUAUGUCAUCUCACACUGAUUUACUAUCUUUUUGAUUAUUCAUUUCUUGCAUUUUGUUGCUUGCAGGGUUAGGAGCUGUUCAAAUGAGACAUUUGAUACCUAUGCUAUGCAUAUUAUUGGCUAAAUUUUUCAAUGAAUGGCAAUAGGGAAUGAAAUACUGUUUAAUAAUACUUUUUUUUUAAUGUCUACGGAUUUGGGAAAGUCAAAUCGUAUAUUAUAUCUUGAAGCUGAAGAAUCCAUAUUAACUGCUUGGUAGCUAGAAAUUAAAAUUCUGACCUAAAGCAAGAAGGGUUCGAUUGACUGCUAUUCUUGAAGCUUAAUGUCAAGGAUUUGAUUGUAUCAAUGGGUUCAAGUGAUGCCAUAUUACAUCUUUAAAGAGACAAUGAAUAAGGAGACGAGACUAUGGAAUGAUGAUUGAUAUACUUCGAAGCUAUGUUAAACUAGUUACAUCAGUGCCAAAAGGGUGGAAUCUAAAGGUGUUGAUGAUCUCAAUGGUCUAUUGUUGUUGCACCAUCGGUAAAUCGAUAGAGUCAGAUUUUGUUUGUGGCUAUUUCUGAAGCAUGUAUGUGGUAUUGAUUUUUGUGAAAUAUUUGGCGGAGAUAAAGAUGAUGCAAACCCAAUAUUUUCAUUAGAGGAAUGGCAUAGUGCAAUGCUACUAAGCUAAAAACUACACCUUUUAACAUUACCAAGCUCAUCAGGUGGUGUAGUAUCACAUUUGGAGUUUGGUUGAUAAUUGUGUGGUUUUUGGAUUUGAGUUUCGUUUAGAAAAUUUCUGUUGACAUGUUCACUACCCAAGUUGAAUAUUUUUUGACAAGUAGAGCAUGUAAAGUGUAGUUUCUUAAAUUCUAAGAUUAUUCCUGCUGGGUUGUUUUGACUUCGCUUACAGGAAAGGGAAAAGGAAAGAAAACUAAAAAGGAACAAAAGAUUAGAUGGUAGAGACUAAAGAGCAUAUUGUUAAAAGUUUUUGUCGAGAAAGUUGUUAAAGAAGCUGAAUAGGAGAUGACUUUGGAUGCGGAGCUGGACAAAAAUGGAAAAUUAUAUUAUUCACAAAUUCUUGUAUGAGAUGGUCUCACUGUGAGACAUGUCUCAUACUUGGGUUAAAUAACCCAAUGAUAGAAACUUUUAGCUUAUGAGCUACUUUUUUUAAGGCCCUCUCACCGUGAGACGGUCUCAUACAAGACGGGCUGUAUAUUAUCUAAAUAGAUAAGGAGAUUUCGGAGGAAUCUAGGGGCAAUAUCGUCGUAAAGAGGGGCACAACGUGGUCGAAUCUGGAGUUCAAGAAAUAAGUAAUGGAAAAAAAAUGCUAUCGUGCAUUAGGAAAAUGCAAGAUUAAUGAAAAAUUAGCUAAACAAAAGGAAGUUAUAACCAAGGCAAAGGUUCACGAGACAAAAUUAAGCACUUCUAUUUGACAAAUUCGAUUAUGAAGAAGGAAAAAAAGACAUCUAUAUCUAUAGAUCCUAAAAUCAAGCAAAGACAAAAGGCAUCAUUAUAGUAAAAUGUAUAAAGGACAAGGAUAAUAAAUUAAUAAAGGAUCAGACAUCAAGAAUUGAUGAAGAGAGUAAUGAAGAACAAGGAAAUCUUGUUAGAGAUGUAACCAUCACCCCGGAGGAAGAAACAAGGAAAUUCAUGCUAAGAAUAAAAAAAUCAGACUAUAAGAGGUUGAGGGGGUUUUAAAGAAAAUAAAGCUAAAGAAAACAAUGAGGCCAAAUGGUAUAUAUUGUGGUAUAGAGAUGCUAAGAGUUGAUUGGAGUUACUUGGCUAACUGAUUUAUUAUCUAUUUAACAAGGUUUGGGAGAAAGAUGUCCAAGUAAUAAAUAAGACGAACUCUAGUACUCAUUAACAAGAAUAAAUAAGAUAUCCAAUAUUGUUUCAACCAUCGAGGAAUAGAACUCAUGAAUCAUACUAUAAAGUUAUGAGAAAGCGUGAUAGUUUUACAUAUCAGAAGCUUUGUAACCAUUUUAUGAACAAAGGAGAUGUCCAAGAUGGUUCUAGCUAUCGAGGAAUAAAACUUAUGACUAAUACUAUAAAAUUAUGGAAAAGCAUGAUAGAAUAAAGUAUAAGGAGAUGUACUGAUAUAUCAGAGAACCUAUUGCCAGAAAAAUCCACAAUGGUAACAAUUCAUAUUAUGAGACAAAUGAUGGCGUGUUAAAAAGUUAGAAAAAAGACUUGUAUAUGGUAUUCAUUGAUUUGAAAAAGGCAUACUACAAAAUAUCAAGAUAUUCAUUUUGGAGGGCAGUGAAAUAGAAGGGUAUUCUCAGAAAAUAUAUUAAUAUAGUGCAAGGCAUGUACUGAGAAGUGAAGACACAUGUUAAGACAUGCGUUGCAAAACAUGAUUUUCCAAUCACAAUUGGCCAAACCAAGGUUCGACAAUAAGCCUUUUCUUAAUGCAGCACUUUUAGAUGAGAUGUUUCGACCGUCUCAAGGAGACGUGUCUUGGUGCAUGUUGUUUGCCGAUGACAUUAUUUUGGUAGACGAGACUGCUUAGGAGAUAAAUACUAAUUUAGAACGAUGGAGACAAGUGUUUGAGUCACAAAGGUUUAUAUAAAGGCGAAGUAAGACGGAGUACAUGAGAUGUUAAUUUACCACAAAUGAAAUAAGUAGAGACAUUAUAAAAUUAAAAGAGAAAAAAAAAAGUUCCAAAUAAAUUUUUUAAGUACUUUGGGUCCUUAAAACUAAAGGACAUUUUUAUCGAACAACCAUUAAACCAAUGCUACUAUAUAAAUUGGAAUGUUUGUCUUUUGGAAAGGAUCAUUGUAAGAAGAUGAGAGUAGUGAAAGUAUGAAUGCAUCAAUAGAUGAGUGGGGAUGCCUUAAGAGAUAGGAUUCAGGCGAAGAUAUAAGAAAAGGUUUUCGAGUCACAAAUAUUGAGGAACAAAUGAAAAAAUGUUCAACAUGGUUCAAGCAUUUGCAAAGACAAAAUAUUAGCGAACUAGUAACGAAGACAGAAAGGUGAAAGGAAUGGGAAAAAAAAUCCAUGUAGAUUACUGUUGAAAAUGAUUUAGUGGUUCAUAUAGUCAACCUCAAUCUUUUGGAAUCAAACAAUUUUGGAAUUAAUCUCAUGGUGAUACUUGCAAAGUCGUCUUCUAUGUGGGAGGUUUUAUAAUGCAAGAUUUUUUUCAGAGAGUUUACAAGUGUUGGAGUUGCAUGAAAGAUCAUCAGUAUCAUGCAUUAAUCCCAAAAUUCGAGGUUUCUACAAGAACCAAGUAGCAAGAUAGAUCAUCAAGAGAUUAUAAUACAUGAUUCACUAAUCUUAUCAUGAAUUACCAAUGAAAAAUAAAUCAUAGUCAAUUUUGGGCUAUUUUUGAGCAAUUUUGAGCAAAUCACACAUUUAGAAAGUGAAUUAACUCAUGGAUUAUGUUACUCCCUCCUUUUCAUCUGUGAGUUGCGUGUAUUUUAAAUUAAGGAAUGUUUAACAAAUAAUAAUUUGCAUUGGUAAAACAAAAUCAACCAUAAUUGUUGUCCAAAAUGAGGGUAUGUAAGCAACAAAUACUUUUCAAAAUGCAAAUGAUUCCAUUAGGAUGAACAAUGUGAAACUACUUGUUAUACUUAAGUACACGAUCUUUUGAAACUAAAGACGAACAUUGGAUUAUAUUAUAUUUGAUUAUAUAUAUUACUAACAUACAACUCAAAAAAUCAAUUUUGAUGAUCCUCUAUAUUAUGCACUCCUUUUGAUCAUUUCUAUUUAUUGUCAUAUGGUCAAGCAUUUUUUAGUUCUUCAUGUCAUUAUCACUAGUCAUGUAGGUCGAUUUUUUGCUAGCCUAUUUCCUUUCCAAGAAAUUUUCUUACACUAUAUUUGGAUAAUAAUUUUAGAGAGAGAAAGGAAAUGAAGGAAAAGGGAGGGGGAAAGGAAAGAAAGAGAUAUUGAAGGAAAGUAAUUCUUGUUUGUUUAGGAGGGAAAGGGAAGGAAAAGGAAAGAAAAUGAGAGUUUUCCCUUUAAAUUUUUCGAACUUUGGAAUUAUUGAUACCAUGACAAAAAUCAUCCAUCUAAUCCUCCAAAUCCCUCCUCUUCAAAUCCCUUUCCUCUCAUUUUGUUAUCCAAACAAGGAAUUUCUUAUCCCUCCAAAUCAUUCUCCUUCUUUUUCCUCCAACUCCUUCCAUCCAAUCAUAAUGUUAAUGUUUUAGUUUUAUACUUUUGUGAGCUGUUCAUUUGAACGUUUUCACCUUUUUAAACUUGUAUGUUUCUGGUCAUCUGCCUAAUAUCUAUGACUUUUAAAAUUUUGUUUUUUUUAUAUUGAAUUGUAUCAUUUUAGGAGAUGCUCAAACAUUUUAGACUCUUUUAUGGAGUUGUGCUCCACGAUAUAUAUGAGUGUCAAAUAGGGAUUACUAAUAAUCUUAAACCAAAACCAAAUUCAUGGAUCAUUAUUUGUAUGAUAGGGUAUGAAUCACAUUUUUAGACUAGAUAGAUACGAGUGGAAAAGAAUUUUUGCAAAAAUUAGUUUUAGAUUUAGAUCUUAAGCUAAGAUCAGAACUCGAACCCAAAGACUAGUAUUUUUAAAAAAAUAAUAUUAAUUUUAGCAAUCAACACCUAAAGUAGCACAAGUCUAAAUCCUAGUUACAAGAAAAAAAAAAAAAAAAAAAAAAAAAAAAAAAAAAAAAAAAAAAAAAAAAAACCUUCCCAGUGAAUCCUUUUAGCAAAAACAUUGUACUCAAAACACCAAAUUACCUUAUUGAACUUUUUUUAAUAUGUAUUUUUCUCUUAGGUUAAUUAAUUGACUUAUAUCUAAAUUCAUGAGAUCUGUAAAUAUAGGCCUGAAUCUUAAAUUUAAGACCCGCAGAUCCAAGAUAUAUUCAGAUUUAAGCUCGGAAAAUGAAUUUGGAUCUGGGCAAAGGUGAACCCUACUUAUUCAAUCUACUUUCACCUCAAGGUCAAGUAACAUGAGAGAUCAUCAAAGCUCAGCUUUAAUGGAGUUUGUUGAUGACUUGAGUGAACCACGGUGAGUGUAUGAUGAUGCUUGAUGGUGUAUAGUACCUUUGGAGAUGUGUCUGACGAGGUAAUGCAAUGCAAUGUGAAGGGUAAGUCCUUGCUGCUACAACAUGUGCUCAAACAAGGCACACAUGAACUACACCAUGCCUUGAAUGAGACACAAUCACACAAAACAUCAGCUUUCCAGAGUGCUCGUACGAGCGACCUGUCAGUGAGUCACCCUUUAAUUCUGCUACGUGAUGUUGUUGUUCCCUUCCUUAUUUGUCGUGGGCCUUUUUGCUUCAAUCAUUAGGUCAUUGUCCCUAGUAUAAAUAGAAUGCUAUUUUUACUCACUUUUAAGUUGAUUUUAACCCAUUAAGAUCAAACACACAACCUCUCUUUUCUUCUCUACUUCUCUAGUGUAAUUCCUCAAUUAUAAGACUUCUUGAAGAACUCCAUUGAUUUUUCUCUAAUAUAAUCAAGCUAACCAUCACCGAGAAUGUAGCCUACAUUGAGUGAACCUUGUAAACUUUGUGCGUCUUGUAUAUUGUUUUAUUUCUUAUUGCAUUUUCAUUCUAGUUCAUAGUAGAAGUUGCUUCACGAUCUAGAACACUUCUACCAUUGUUCUUGGUUGGUGUAGGGAUAAAGUUUCAAUCUUUAGUCCCUAACAGGCUUGUUAUUCAUAUUUAAGCUCGGAAAUAAAUUUGGACUUGGGAUCACUAGGCAAAGGUGGAAUCUACUUAUUCAAUACACUACCUUCCCCAGGGUCAAGCAAUAUGAGAGAUCAUUAAUGCCAAGCUUAAAUCUAAUUUUAGUCUCGUGUUUUAGGAAACCUAAUAAUAUUCGCUCAUUUGAUAUUUCAGAGAUAUGGUGCUUUUUUCAAUUAGGGCUUUAGCUACUAUGUCAUACUUAGCACUUCACUAGGGGCUAUGAGUAAAAGUAUGAAUCACUUACUUAACUCGUAACCACAUUCAGGUUAUAUUGUGCAGUGUUUCUAGGCGAUUGAUGGUUGAAGCCCUAAGAUAUCAUGAAGUUUAACUAUAAGUUGAUGGUUGAAGCCCUAAGAUAUCAUGAAGCUUUAACUAUAAGUUAAUGGUUGAAGCCCUAAGAUAUGUUAUAUAUUCUAUUACGUAACUUUACAAGAGCCAUUUGAAUUAGAAGUGAUGGAUGAGAUUCAAAUAUAUAACCCUUUUUUUAUGUUAGCUUAUAAUAUCAUGUCUAAUUUUAAGCUGAUAUUGAAGAUCUUACACAUGUUAGGUACUCUAAUAAAAAUUACAAUAUUUAUCAUUUUGGGAUAUUCCUUUUACUUUGUUACACUACUAAAUUUGACAAUAAAUCUACGUCCUCUAAAGUCUAACCUAAUUGCAUUUACUAACUCAUUUUCCUUCUUUAUUUCCUCCACAUAUUCCUUUCUUCAAUUUAUUUGUCUUAUUCUCUUAAUAUUAGUAAUUAUUUUGACAAUAUGUGAAAAUGUUGUGAGCGCCCCAUUGUUGGUCCAGGCCAACAAAGAAACAUAGGUGAGAGAUCUUUGUGACACUCACUAUAAAAACAUCGUCAAAAUUUCCAACAUAAAUUGAACUCUCAUGUCAUGAAUAUGGGGGUGUGCUGUCCCCUACUCAUUUUUGUAGUACACUUUUCAAACCCAAAUUAGUGAAAAGUAUGUAUGAGUUUUAAUGUUGUUAAUAGAGCAUAUAUAUAACAUAUAUGCUAGAAUUGUUGAUUCUCUUGUCAAUUUUAGAAGGACAAUGGGAAUAGUUGCACAAAUUUUCAAGAAAGGAAUUUAAGUUAUUUGAGAAAGUGCCACAAAUAACAUCCUUUUUAGAACAGCACCAUAUCCUAUGCUAUCCUUAUUGAGUGACCAUGUGACAAUGUACGUACUAACUUAAGAUUAUGCAACUCUUAAACGUAGUUGUGGUAAUACUAAUCUCUUUUUCUUUAAGUAAAUAAUAUAUAGUACUAUUUUCAUCUUAUCUUCUGAUAUCCACCAUAAUCUGUCUGCUGCCUGGUGUCAGUUGAUAGUACUCGUAACUCGUCUGUUUCACUAAUUUUGUCCUUAUGAUAAUUAAUGGAGAAAUUUAAAAAAAUAGAUAAAAGUGAUAUAAUAUUUUAUGGAAAGCAUAAGAAAUAUGUAAAUGGGAUAGAUAAAAGUUUUAAAUAAAUAUAGAUUAUGACUAAAAAUAGAUCUGAGAUUAAUUUAAUAGGACAAACAACAGUACAUAUGCCAACUUUUGUGUGGAAUGAAAACAUUAGUGUCUACUGUCUUGAUUGAAAUGCAAAAUUAGUCUUCCUUUGUUUCCCAAUCAAAUUGGUCAAUAUUUGAAAAUUUGUUGUGGUGACUUUAUUUAAACUUUUAUGACUAGAUAUUAUUAGUAUUAAGUAAGAAGAACAGAACAAGAUCUAAUUUUUUUUCUAAGAAAGUAAGAAAAUGAAGCAAGUAAUAAUAAUUAUAUAAAUCUUUGUUUUAUAAAUAAGAUCUUGCAUGUACAAAUUAUAACAUCAUCAAUGGCUAAAUCAAUUUCAUAUAAUAUCAAACACCAACACAUAUAUUAUCCUAAUUAAAGAUACAUUUGUUUUUAAGAUUGAUUAACGAUAUCCUUAAUUAAUUAAUUAAGUCUAAUCAAUAAGAUAAGAUAAGAUUAGAAAAAAUAAUUGAAAUAGGGAGUAUUUAACUACCACAAACCUGUUAUUAGCAAAAUCAUAGAGUUUCCCAGUACUGGAGAAGAUUAUAACUCCAACUUGAGCAUCACAAAGAAUUGCCAAUUCCUUUGCCUUCUUCAAAAGUCCAUUUCUUCGUUUCGAGAAAGUUA